UGCAGGUUUGGUGGUGUCUGUUGUGGAUCCAUAACCUGGAGAGACCAUUGUCGACUGUUGUGCUGCGCCUGGAGGAAAGACUCUAUUCAUGGCAUCACGUUUGAGAGGCCAAGGUAUGGUGUAUGCAAUUGACAUAAACAAAGGCCGCCUAAGAAUUCUUGAAGAGACAGCCAAGUCACACAAUGUCAAUGAUGUCAUCACUGUUGUGCAUGCUUACCUUUGUAUUUUUUCUGAAAAGAUAUCCAAGAAGUUUGAUAAAGUUUUGUUGGAUGCUCCUUGUUCUGGAUUGGGUGUCCUCUCCAAGGAAUUCCUUAAACAAGUUCAUAUUUCUCGAAAGAUAAUUAAAUUGGGAUUAUUUUGGAAUUUGGAAAAAAAUUAAAAUAGCCAAUAUUGGUUUGAAUCAUCAAACAGCUGCAAUCAUUGAUAGUAUUGACAUAUAAUAUUAUUUCUUUUUGGGUCAGUUAUUGUUCAUGUGCUUGCUUCUAAGAUGCUUUGAUUGGUAAUGGUAAGUGUUUUACGAACAUGAUUAUUUUCUGCCUUUCCUAAGUCUUAAUGACUAAAUCUUCCUUUCCUAUUCAAUUUGUUGUUUAAGAGAGCGGACUUACAUUGGAACAGGAGAUUAGAGGAUUUGGAACAGUUGACAAAUUUACAAGAUGAGCUCCUUGAUGCAGCUUCAUUGAGUUCACUAUAGAUCUUGCUGAUAGGUACGUCCCACCUGAUCUUGUUACGGACAAAGGGUUCUUCUUCUCCAGCCCAGUCAAACAUCAUCUUGAUGGAUCAUUUGCGGCCCGCCUGGUCCAAUCUGUAGACCACAAGAUGAACCCUAGAUAGCAAGCAAAACGUGAACCUCUCCUCUUUAAUCAAGACAAGGUAGGGCCAUGAUGGGAUACAAUUAUCCAACAAGAAACUUAUCUCUUGUAACUAAUGUUGUCAAAAUCGUUAUCAUAUUGCAAAUCGUAAUUGGGGUUGAA